rnacentral:tRNA from 1 species
GGAGCCUCCGUAGCUCAAUCGGUUAGAGCACCGCCCUCUUAAGGCGGGUGUUGAGGGUUCGAGUCCCUCCGCCUCUU